CCAAGUUUAAUGUCAACGAUGUUUCCGCGUGAAGAGCUGCUAUUGCAAAUAUCUGUAUUAUUAGAUCUUUACUGCAUGUGUCACGCUACACCCUACCCAAGACGUUAAGAAUUGCUUACGUAGACUUUUAAGGAAGGCGCUCCCCUCGUCCUCAAUUGCUUAAAGAUGUGUCGUAAACUAGGAGUUUCCGAAGGGUAAGUUUGGCUGUGACAUCCUGGAGACCGGAGAAUCUGACCCGAAGGAAACUCCGCAUCGUUAUCAAACUUCACGUACUG
rnacentral:misc_RNA from 1 species